UACGUAGGGUGCGAGCGUUGUCCGGAAUUAUUGGGCGUAAAGAGCUCGUAGGCGGUCUGUCACGUCGGUCGUGAAAACUUGGGGCUUAACCCUGAGCUUGCGGUCGAUACGGGCAUGACUUGAGUUCGGCAGGGGAGACUGGAAUUCCUGGUGUAGCGGUGGAAUGCGCAGAUAUCAGGAGGAACACCGAUGGCGAAGGCAGAUCUCUGGGCCGUAACUGACGCUGAGGAGCGAAAGCGUGGGGAGCGAACAGG
rnacentral:rRNA from 1 species